GGAUCAAUACCGUAUAUAUUAUAGACUAUUAUGGCUUUCACAAAGUUUCUUUGAACAAAUGAGUUCUUGAUACUGAAAGCCCAGAGAAAAGCUACACCUGCAAAGCAUUCCAGCUGAUAAGAAUAAUGAAUCAUCUUUGGAGCAAAAUAUUAAAAACUGAAAGCUUUCCUCCAUUUAGUGACAGCAUGUAAUUCCUUCCUGUACAAGACUCAUGCGUUGAUAAACCUGAAAAACCACUGAUGUGCCCAGAAAAAUUAUGGUAAAGCUCAAAAGAAGAUUAAUGGAUAUAACUAAGAUAAGAACUGGCGCAAAACAUAAAUGAUGUUGCUGAAAAAGAAGGAGUUGCUAUAGAACGAUAAUUUUCUUAGCUUUAUAUUUCGCACUUGUGUCUUGGCCUGUUGUCAAGAGAAUGCAAGUUUGGGUGAAAAUACUAAAAUGUACGUCUUAUCUAGUGAAAAUAUAUAAUGGGACCUACUCUUCAACGCUUA